rnacentral:rRNA from 1 species
ACGGAGGGUGCAAGCGUUGCUCGGAAUCACUGGGCGUAAAGCGUCCGCAGGCGGGCGCGUAAGUUGGGUGUGAAAGCCCGGGGCUCAACCCCGGAACUGCACUCAAAACUGCGUGCCUUGAGUACGGGAGAGGGAGGCGGAAUUCCUGGUGUAGAGGUGAAAUUCGUAGAUAUCAGGAGGAACACCUGUGGCGAAAGCGGCUUCCUGGCCCGAUACUGACGCUCAUGGACGAAAGCGUGGGGAGCAAACAGG